rnacentral:rRNA from 1 species
AGAGUUUGAUCCUGGCUCAGGAUAAACGCUGGCGGCGUGCCUAACACAUGCAAGUCGAACGCCCUUAGCAAUAAGGGAGUGGCGGACGGGUGAGGAACACGUGGGUAUCUGCCUUGAGGUGAGGAAUACCGGCGAGAAAUCGCCGACAAUACCGCAUAGCCUUCUUUCGGGAAGGAAAGUCUCGCAAGAGACGCCACAAG